UUAAAUUGAAGAGUUUGAUCAUGGCUCAGAUUGAACGCUGGCGGCAGGCCUAACACAUGCAAGUCGAACGGUAACAGGAAGCAGCUUGCUGCUUCGCUGACGAGUGGCGGACGGGUGAGUAAUGUCUGGGAAACUGCCUGAUGGAGGGGGAUAACUACUGGAAACGGUGGCUAAUACCGCAUAACGUCGCAAGACCAAAGAGGGGGACCUUCGGGCCUCUUGCCAUCAGAUGUGCCCAGAUGGGAUUAGCUUGUUGGUGAGGUAACGGCUCACCAAGGCGACGAUCCCUAGCUGGUCUGAGAGGAUGACCAGCCACACUGGAACUGAGACACGGUCCAGACUCCUACGGGAGGCAGCAGUGGGGAAUAUUGCACAAUGGGCGCAAGCCUGAUGCAGCCAUGCCGCGUGUAUGAAGAAGGCCUUCGGGUUGUAAAGUACUUUCAGCGGGGAGGAAGGUGUUGUGGUUAAUAACCACAGCAAUUGACGUUACCCGCAGAAGAAGCACCGGCUAACUCCGUGCCAGCAGCCGCGGUAAUACGGAGGGUGCAAGCGUUAAUCGGAAUUACUGGGCGUAAAGCGCACGCAGGCGGUCUGUCAAGUCGGAUGUGAAAUCCCCGGGCUCAACCUGGGAACUGCAUUCGAAACUGGCAGGCUUGAGUCUUGUAGAGGGGGGUAGAAUUCCAGGUGUAGCGGUGAAAUGCGUAGAGAUCUGGAGGAAUACCGGUGGCGAAGGCGGCCCCCUGGACAAAGACUGACGCUCAGGUGCGAAAGCGUGGGGAGCAAACAGGAUUAGAUACCCUGGUAGUCCACGCCGUAAACGAUGUCUACUUGGAGGUUGUGCCCUUGAGGCGUGGCUUCCGGAGCUAACGCGUUAAGUAGACCGCCUGGGGAGUACGGCCGCAAGGUUAAAACUCAAAUGAAUUGACGGGGGCCCGCACAAGCGGUGGAGCAUGUGGUUUAAUUCGAUGCAACGCGAAGAACCUUACCUGGUCUUGACAUCCACAGAACUUUCCAGAGAUGGACUGGUGCCUUCGGGAACUGUGAGACAGGUGCUGCAUGGCUGUCGUCAGCUCGUGUUGUGAAAUGUUGGGUUAAGUCCCGCAACGAGCGCAACCCUUAUCCUUUGUUGCCAGCGAUUAGGUCGGGAACUCAAAGGAGACUGCCAGUGAUAAACUGGAGGAAGGUGGGGAUGACGUCAAGUCAUCAUGGCCCUUACGACCAGGGCUACACACGUGCUACAAUGGCGCAUACAAAGAGAAGCGACCUCGCGAGAGCAAGCGGACCUCAUAAAGUGCGUCGUAGUCCGGAUUGGAGUCUGCAACUCGACUCCAUGAAGUCGGAAUCGCUAGUAAUCGUGGAUCAGAAUGCCACGGUGAAUACGUUCCCGGGCCUUGUACACACCGCCCGUCACACCAUGGGAGUGGGUUGCAAAAGAAGUAGGUAGCUUAACCUUCGGGAGGGCGCUUACCACUUUGUGAUUCAUGACUGGGGUGAAGUCGUAACAAGGUAACCGUAGGGGAACCUGCGGUUGGAUCACCUCCUUACCUUAAAGAA
rnacentral:rRNA from 1 species